rnacentral:rRNA from 1 species
CGCAUCUGUGCAUGCAGCAUAUCAAUAAGCGGAGGAAAAGAAACUAACAAGGAUUCCCCUAGUAACGGCGAGUGAAGCGGGAAGAGCUCAAAUUUGAAAUCUUAAAGGGUUUCCCUUUACGAAUUGUAGUUUAAAGAAGUGUUUUCCGUUGAGGUUUUGGUAAAAGUUCUUUGGAAUAGGACAUCAUAGAGGGUGAGAAUCCCGUAUUUGACCCUUACUUUCAACUUUGUGAUACACUUUCAAAGAGUCGGAUUGUUUGGGAAUGCAGUCCAAAAUGGGUGGUAAAUUUCAUCUAAAGCUAAAUAUUGGCGAGAGACCGAUAGCGAACAAGUACCGUGAGGGAAAGAUGAAAAGAACUUUGAAAAGAGAGUUAAACAGUACGUGAAAUUGUCAAAAGGGAAGCGUUUGACACCAGUGUUGUUUUUCUGAAAAUCAAUUAAAGAACUGUUUAUGCUAAGUUGUUUAGACUUUAUCAGCUAACUGUUUAGUUUUGAGCUUUUCUUUAAUGCACUUUUCAGUUAACAAGUCAACAUCAAUCUCUUUUGCUGUAAAAAAGCUUGAGGAAGGUGGCUUGAGAUUCGUCUUAAGUGUUUAUAGCCUCUUGCCUAUGCAGUCGGAGAGAUUGAGGUCUGCAGCGUAGAUCCUUCGGGGCUAAAUGCAUUUGUGCUAAGUUAUAGCAUUUUAUAGACAACUUGUUGACUAUGAUUUGUCUUGUAGCUUACUCGCUUAUGUUAUUUUACCUACGCUUAGGAUGUUGAGCGCAUGUCUCUCUCU